CCUGCGCGCUAACUGCAGUCGACGCUGAAGCACAGCUUGCUGGUGUGGAUGAGUGGCGAACGGGUGAGUAAUACGUGAGUAACCUGCCCUUGACUCUGGGAUAAGCCCGGGAAACUGGGUCUAAUACUGGAUGCUACAUGUCACCGCAUGGUGGUGUGUGGAAAGGGUUUACUGGUCUUGGAUGGGCUCACGGCCUAUCAGCUUGUUGGUGAGGUAAUGGCUCACCAAGGCGACGACGGGUAGCCGGCCUGAGAGGGUGACCGGCCACACUGGGACUGAGACACGGCCCAGACUCCUACGGGAGGCAGCAGUGGGGAAUAUUGCACAAUGGGCGAAAGCCUGAUGCAGCGACGCCGCGUGAGGGAUGACGGCCUUCGGGUUGUAAACCUCUUUCAGCAGGGAAGAAGCCACAAGUGACGGUACCUGCAGAAGAAGCGCCGGCUAACUACGUGCCAGCAGCCGCGGUAAUACGUAGGGCGCAAGCGUUGUCCGGAAUUAUUGGGCGUAAAGAGCUCGUAGGCGGUUUGUCGCGUCUGCUGUGAAAGCCCGGGGCUUAACCCCGGGUGUGCAGUGGGUACGGGCAGACUAGAGUGCAGUAGGGGAGACUGGAAUUCCUGGUGUAGCGGUGGAAUGCGCAGAUAUCAGGAGGAACACCGAUGGCGAAGGCAGGUCUCUGGGCUGUUACUGACGCUGAGGAGCGAAAGCAUGGGGAGCGAACAGGAUUAGAUACCCUGGUAGUCCAUGCCGUANACGUUGGGCACUAGGUGUGGGGGACAUUCCACGUUUUCCGCGCCGUAGCUAACGCAUUAAGUGCCCCGCCUGGGGAGUACGGCCGCAAGGCUAANACUCAAAGGAAUUGACGGGGGCCCGCACAAGCGGCGGAGCAUGCGGAUUAAUUCGAUGNCACGCGAAGAACCUUACCNAGGCUGACAUAUACCNGAUCGUUCCAGAGAUGGUUCUUCCCUUUUGGGGUCGUAUACANGUGGUGCAUGGUUGUCGUCAGCUCGUGUCGUGAGAUGUUGGGGUAAAAGUCCGCACGAGCGCAACCCUCGUUCCAUGUUUGCAGCACGUGAUGGUGGGGACUCAUGGGAGACUGCCCGGGUCAACUCGAAGGAAGGGGGGAUGACGUCAAACAUCAUGCCCCUANGUUCUGGCCUUCCCCAUGCUACAUGGCCGGGACAAGGGUUGCAUACUGGGAGGGGAACUAUCCCAAAACCGGUCUCAUUCCGAUGGAGCUUCAACUCACCCUUAAAUCGGAACCUAAAAUCCAAAAACCCCCUUCCGGAAAAUUCCGGCCUUAAACCCCCCUCAAUACAAAAGGACACGAGACGGGCCACCUUGAGAGCCAUGCGUG
rnacentral:rRNA from 1 species